CAAGGGUUGUCCUCCACUCUAAGUUGGGUGGUCUCUCCCUCAGUGUGGCUGGGUCUGGGCUUUUAUAGGCUCAGAAUGGGGAGUGUGUGCUGAUUGGUUUGUGAGUAUGCAAAAAAGGUUAAAACAAAGGCACUGCUCAAAGGUGGGCAUGACAGUGUAAAAAACCAAUUAGGGUAGGGUAGGUUUCUGUAAAAUAGGUGAAGGGUGGGGAUCAAUCAGAGGAAAGUGCACCAAACGGGAAGACGGGUUCUCAAUCUGGUCCGUGGAUUUGACUUGUAGCUUGGCUUUCAGGUUUUAAACUGUCUUUGUCUUGGAGGUAGGGUUUCACUGGGGUUCCGCCCCAUCUGCCUAGGCAUGUGUCUGCCUCCUGCAUCUGCAAGAGGAGGAUGUGACCCAGUGGACACCUGGUGACAGCCUCAUGAGACCCUGCCAUCUCAGAGGACAUAGCUGGGCCACGCCGGGACUUCUCACCAGCCGGGAAAUAUGUUACCCAGCGAUAUAAAUGAAUGCAGGGGGUCUUGAGAACAACAGUCCAGUUGGAAGCAGAAAAUAGGUGACUCGUCUUCAGAUGACCGAGUUUCGCUCUGUCUGCAC
rnacentral:lncRNA from 1 species